AUGACAGCCCCUCCCGCCCCCGACCCCGAGCCCUCGACCCCGUUUUUCUCUCCUCCCCCGUCUCUUCCCCCGAACUGCCUUUCUCCUCCGGCUCUGGUUUUGGACCUAAUCCUCUUUGCCUUUUUCCUCGUCCUCAUCGUCUGCGCUCCUCUCCUGAACGUGCAGGCCGCGCUUCCUUCCACCCUCUUCCCGGAUCCCCUGCUUCGUAUUGCUUCCUGGUACAAAGAUCGGUUCGGCGACUACCUCGUCUCGGAGCGUCCCUUCUUCUUCGUGAGGCUGGUCUGGCAUGAGCUAUUCUUCAUCUGGCCCCUCGCCAUCACCAACGCCUAUGCCACGCUCGCCAGGAGGUCCUGGUUCAAUACCACCUGCCUCAUCUUGGGAUCCUCGCUCCUUACCUCCAUGAGCAUGGAGACAAAACCCAAAUAAGUGAAUAUACUGCAUUGGAAGCCAUGAUGCCAUGAUGGCAGUGGGAAUAUACUGCAACCUUUCUUGAAUUUUCAUGCUUGGAACCCCCCCGUUCUCUUGUAUGCAUGCAGGGUGCCACACUCUUCAAUAAUGAUCUAGAGAGGUAACAAAUUAGCAGUUUAUGUUAGAAUCAUAUUUUUUUGCUUUGCAGGCCAGGCUGAAAAAGGAGAUACCAACCGAGCAAUUCCUUUCAAAUUUUAUAGUUCAAGGAAUGGUGUGUCGACUGAAGAGAGCAUAUAUGAAAUCACAUACCAUGGAAAGGGAAGAAUGCCGGGAUUUGGUGAGAAAUUCACGCCAAGAGGUCAGUGUACAUUUGGACCUAGGCUGCAAGAUGAUGAAAUCAAACUCCUAGCCAUGUUUGUGAAGUCGCAAGCUGAACAAGGAUGGCCAAACAUUGAAAUUUAUAAAUAUUGAUCUUUGUAGACAAGGGCAUUUCUAUAGAAAGGAGGGCUUCAAUAUUGAAUAAUAUACUAUUUAUACAUGUGCUUGAUAUUGUCAAGAAAAACUACUACCAGAAUCUUAGAUGCACCAGUUCUGGUUCAACAUGGCGAACUGGUUUCAGCUUGCUUGUCAACUUUCUUCAUUAAUGAAAAAACAAGCUGUUUUGGGUCUUA